rnacentral:lncRNA from 1 species
GAGAAUUUAUCAAAGUGGUAGAUGACAUAAUUAUCUUCAAUGCAAUGGUCUGGAACGGGGAUCUCGACUCUUAUGAACUCCAAUGAACAAGUAUUUCAUUCGGUAGAUUUCAGCUCCUUUAAUCCUCAUUCAUUGUGUUGGUACCUAUUCAUAUCAAGAUCUUCCACGGAAUCAUCGUAUACUUCUACAUAUAAGAACUAAGAAGUUUCAUAAAACGACAGAAAAAUCGACUGAGAUACACAGUGAGGAGCAGGGAGAGUUCUCAUUCUUCAUCCACAGCUCGUUCUUUAAAGUUCUUGGAAGUCAACUUUGCUUCGUCUCCUACUCUAAGAAAACUCUGCUUCGCCUCCUACUCUAAGAAAACUAUUCUAUUAAUAAGAGUCCUUCAGUUUUCUGGAUGUAUAAAACCCAGAAAUCACUCAUCCCUAUAACAAUUAUAUCAAUUCUAUUUAGAAAUUGGACUUCGUGAUAUAAUGGUCUAUACGGAUACUUAUAUAAGCUGGACACUUCAAGGUCUCGCUUAUUUAAGGUCUCUCUUUAUUACUACUGAGUCACAUGGCAUUUGAAAAUAAAUGGAACAUGAUUCUAGACUUGUUAAGAUAAUGUGCUUCUCUUUUCUCGAUAUUUUGGUCUGCAAAGCAUAUUCUACUCUGUUAUUACAUAUAAAUUAUUAUUUGGAGCUGUUAAGUGCUUAUGUGUUUUACAAAAUAUAUAACAAACCUCUUAACUUCUGUAGCAUUACGUUGAAAUAUCUUAAUGUCAUUGAAAUUCCCAAACUUAUUGAGUCCUUCUCUAAACAGCCAAGUUGCUUGUCACCAUAUUGAAAUAUUACUCUUGCAAAAAUCUAGGAUCUCAACACGAAUAAAUAAAUUAUUAAAUGUUUUCUAUACUAGAUAAUUAUAAGUUGUUUUACUGAAAACAAUAGUUAAAAUGUAACAAUAUAAUUAUAGAAUUGUUUUAGUAUUGAUUGAAAAAAUAAUAAAGUGUGAAUGAUAUUCUUCAAAAUUU